GCUACGGGAAGCAGCAGUGAGGAAUAUUGGUCAAUGGACGGAAGUCUGAACCAGCCAUGCCGCGUGCAGGAAGACGGCUCUAUGAGUUGUAAACUGCUUUUGUACAAGGGUAAACCUGAAUACGUGUAUUCAGCUGAAAGUACUGUACGAAUAAGGAUCGGCUAACUCCGUGCCAGCAGCCGCGGUAAUACGGAGGAUCCAAGCGUUAUCCGGAUUUAUUGGGUUUAAAGGGUGCGUAGGCGGAUUGAUAAGUUAGAGGUGAAAUGUCCGGGCUUAAAUCGUGAACUGCCUCUAAAACUGGUGAUCGAGAGAGUAGAUGCGGUAGGCGGAAUGUAUGGUGUAGCGGUGAAAUGCUUAGAGAGCAUACAGAACACCGAUUGCGAAGGCAGCUUACCAAUCUAUAUCUGACGUUGAGGCACGAAAGCGUGGGUAGCAAACAGGAUGAGAUACCCCUGUAGUC
rnacentral:rRNA from 1 species